AUCCACGGGAAGCUGUUGCGCAUGCGCAGACAGCGCUUGAGCACAGAGAUGUGGUCGGUCAGGUGCAGGUAGGUAGGGCGGGGCUCGGUGCUGGCGAUCGAAUAAAGUUGUGGAGUAAAGCUAAGUUGCCGGAGUGGAGAAAGAUGGUGAUUGGUUUCAUCCGCGAACAGGAAGAGGAGACAAGGCGCGUAACUGCGACGUCACAUGGUGUGCAAGGGCGAUGUUUGGCUUGGGAGCAUGUGGAGAAAUGGAAGAUCAGCUGGCGUGAUCUGUGGGCGAUGGACGCCGGUCGUAUUAUGUUUCUCAUCGGAGCCACCUACGAUGUUCUCCCUACUCCGCAGAAUCUUAAUCGCUGGGCUCCACUGGGUGAUAUGCUGUUAGCCCUGCUGUCUCACCCACCCAGGGGAACACAGGACGCACUAUUGUGCUUCUGUGCCAUGGUGUUGGCCCAAGAAAUGUCUUAGUGCUCAACUGACAAAUAGCACUGUAUUCUACAUUGUUGCUUCAAACCAAUUUAUUUUAGAAACUUCUACUUGAUGCAAAAAAAAUCCCUUUCAGAUUUUGGUGUUGCUUUCUUAAAAAUCCCCACUGUGGUCACAUGACUGAGGAGUUACACACAUGUAAAAUCCACAUGUUUGCAUCACAAUAAACAUUCUCCAGUUGACA
rnacentral:lncRNA from 1 species